ACUGGCGGCAGGCUUACACAUGCAAGUCGACGGUAACAGGAGCACUUCUGCUUUGCUGACGUGCGGACGGUGUAAUGUCUGGGAACUGCCUGAUGGAGGGGGAUACUACUGGAAACGGUACUAAUACCGCAUAAGUCGCAGGACCAAGGAGGGGGCUUCGGCCUCUUGCCAUCGGAUGUGCCCAGAUGGGAUUAGCUAGUAGGUGGGGUAACGGCUCACCUAGGCGACGAUCCCUAGCUGGUCUGAGAGGAUGACCAGCCACACUGGAACUGAGACACGGUCCAGACUCCUACGGGAGGCAGCAGUGGGGAAUAUUGCACAAUGGGCGCAAGCCUGAUGCAGCCAUGCCGCGUGUAUGAAGAAGGCCUUCGGGUUGUAAAGUACUUUGCAGCGGGGAGGAAGGCGAUAAGGUUAAUAACCUUGUCGAUUGACGUUACCCGCAGAAGAAGCAC
rnacentral:rRNA from 1 species